CGCGUAGGCGGCUUUUCAAGCGUGCGGUGAAAGCUCGGGGCUUAACUCCGAGUCUGCCGUGCGAACUGGGAGGCUUGAGUCUGGUAGAGGUCGAUGGAAUUCCGGGUGUAGCGGUGGAAUGCGUAGAGAUCCGGAAGAACACCGGUGGCGAAGGCGGUCGACUGGGCCAGUACUGACGCUGAGGCGCGACAGCGUGGGGAGCAAACAGGAUUAGAUACCCUGGUAGUCCACGCCGUAAACGAUGGGCACUAGGUCCUUGGGGGAGCGACCCCUUGAGGGCCGGCGCUAACGCAUUAAGUGCCCCGCCUGGGGAGUACGGCCGCAAGGCUGAA
rnacentral:rRNA from 1 species